rnacentral:rRNA from 2 species
ACGGAAGGCAGCAGUGGGGAAUCUUGCACAAUGGGCGAAAGCCUGAUGCAGCAACGCCGCGUGAGCGAAGAAGGCCUUUGGGUCGUAAAGCUCUGUCGGUAGGGAAGAAGGAAGUGACGGUACCUACCGAGGAAGCCCCGGCUAACUACGUGCCAGCAGCCGCGGUAAUACGUAGGGGGCGAGCGUUAUCCGGAAUUAUUGGGCGUAAAGAGUACGUAGGCGGUUUUUUAAGCGAGGGGUAUAAGGCAGCGGCUUAACUGCUGUUGGCCCCUCGAACUGGAGGACUUGAGUGUCGGAGAGGAAAGCGGAAUUCCUAGUGUAGCGGUGAAAUGCGUAGAGAUUAGGAGGAACACCAGUGGCGAAGGCGGCUUUCUGGACGACAACUGACGCUGAGGUACGAAAGCGUGGGGAGCAAACAGGAUUAGAUACCCUGGUA